CGCUGCCAGCCCCAGCUCGCCUGUGGCUCGGGGCAGAUCGAGCCUGGCCCCGGCUCUGCCCUGACCCGCUGGGGCCUGGGCCGCAGCCGGGCGUUCUCCAGCGGGGCCGCUGCUCCUGGGUGAGCUUCGGGACGGGUCAGGACAAGCCCCCAGACAGACACUGGCUGGCCGUGGCCAGGGUCGCGUUUGGGACCCAGUUAGGAAGGGCCCUGCCAGGGGGCCAGAUUCAGAUACCAAUAAUCAUGUCAAACAGUACCUUGCUCCACAAAUACUCCCAUUGACUCCGGAGUAAACUGUUACCCAACAGCAUUAAAGAGAGUGUGUGUGCGCACACGUGUACAUUGCAGGGAAAGCCAUCCUGCCAGAGAGGAGGAGGAUUCAGAGGUGCGGGGAACUCACCAUCAAACUAAACAAUCUGGGAAAAACUCUGCAAGGGGGAUCUGCAGUUUCCUCCCUCCCCAACCAAGCCUCCACCAGUGGAUUCUUCCAUGGGCUAAGCACAACACACAAAGCAAUAUUCAAAAGACAAAUGUUUAUUAGAUACACUGACCUUAAUUUUUUUAAAAAAGAAUUAUGCAAGAAAUACAUUUAAAUAUAACAAGUACAUAACAUGUUAUUGAAAUUCUGUGCUACAUUACAAAAAGGCAUCUUUUUCCACAGCCAACAUAAAGUGAAGAUCUCUAAAACUGGCUUUGUGCAAGGUAAUAUUCAGCUGAUUCUGGUACAUGUUAAGUGGUCUUCACUUUUGUUCAGAUCUGAUUUGUGCUGUACCAAUUUGUUCCUGAAAAUGACAUUAGCUCUUGGUGGAACAAAAUGUUUUAAUGUUUUGUACAUAAGGAAACUGGCCAACACCCCCCACCCCACACACACACACAAAACCCAACAACAUCAAUGAACUGCUUCCAAAAAGGAAAACACAAAACAUAACCCCAGGUGAGGAAAGUAUAUCUGUUGUUUAGUGGGUGUAUUCUCUUUCGCUGGAGAGGUAACGCCUAUUAAUAUGACUCAAAGUUAUGAUGUGGGUGUGCACUGAAAGGAGAAUAGACACUUGUGUCAUGUGCUCACUCAUAUGAAAUGAAUACCAAUACAUUGUAUUCAAGUC